GAUGAACGCUGGCGGCGUGCCUAAUACAUGCAAGUCGAGCGAACAGACGAGAGUGCUUGCACUCUCUGACGUUAGCGGCGGACGGGUGAGUAACACGUGGGUAACCUACCUAUAAGACUGGGAUAACUUCGGGAAACCGGAGCUAAUACCGGAUAAUAUUUAGCUUCGCAUGAAGCAAUAGUGAAAGACGGUUCUGCUGUCACUUAUAGAUGGACCCGCGGUGUAUUAGCUAGCUGGUGAGGUAACGGCUCACCAAGGCAACGAUACAUAGCCGACCUGAGUGGGUGAUCGGCCACUCUGGUACUGAGACACGGCCCCGACUCCUACGGGAGGCAGCAGUAUGGAAUCUUCCGCAAUGGACGAAAGUCUGACGGAGCAAUGCCGCGUGAGUGAAGAAGGUUUUCGGAUCGUAGAACUCUGUUGUAAGGGAAGAACAAGUACGUUAGUAACUGAACGUACCUUGACGGUACCUUACCAGAAAGCCACGGCUAACUACGUG
rnacentral:rRNA from 1 species